rnacentral:rRNA from 1 species
UGGGGAAUCUUGGACAAUGGGGGCAACCCUGAUCCAGCCAUGCCGCGUGAGUGAUGAAGGCCUUAGGGUCGUAAAGCUCUUUCGCCUGUGAAGAUAAUGACGGUAGCAGGUAAAGAAACCCCGGCUAACUCCGUGCCAGCAGCCGCGGUAAUACGGAGGGGGUUAGCGUUGUUCGGAAUUACUGGGCGUAAAGCGCACGUAGGCGGACCAGAAAGUUGGGGGAUGAAAUCCCGGGGGCUCAACCCCGGAACUGCCUCCAAAACUAUUGGUCUAGAGUUCGAGAGAGGUGAGUGGAAUUCCAAGUGUAGAGGUGAAAUUCGUAGAUAUUUGGAGGAACACCAGUGGCGAAGGCGGCUCACUGGCUCGAUACUGACGCUGAGGUGCGAAAAGUGUGGGGAGCAAACAGGAUUAGAUACCCUGGUAGUCCACACCGUAAAACGAUGAAUGCCAGUCGUCGGGUAGCAUGCUAUUCGGUGACACACCUAACGGAUUAAGCAUUCC